GUGGCAUUGGCCAUAGGCAGGGUGAGGAUCAGGAGGGAGCUCAGGAGGGGGAAUUGCACUGAAGAUUUGUCCCAUCGUGAAGCAAGAGCACUGGAACUUACACUCCACCAUCAGGCCCUGUCACAGGAGAACAAAGAAGGAAGGCAGAGGAGAUCAUGCUCCGGCCAGCAGGGAAUCUCCAUUUUUUUCAGCCUCAUACCUUGGAAAGUACAAAGGAGUGAGAGCUGGGACUACCAGCCAGAGGGUUCAUGGAGGUAGUGGGAGGGGAAGAUGGGUUCUGCAUGGAGCCACUCCAGGGACUUUUCUUCUGUCUCACAGCCUGACAAUCACCUCUAGCUGUUCUCAGUCCCAUUCUCAUCAAUGACCUCGUCUCCUGAUUUUGUACAAUAUCUAGGUGACCUUCUCUUCUUUCCAUCUUCAAACGCUUGAUCAUUGAUGCUCCCUUUUCUCUUCUCUCUCCUCCUGGGAAAAGAGAAGGACCAACAUCCCCCUUUCCCUUCCUCCUGUGCUGUCCCGACCCCUCUGAGACCUGGCUCUAGCAGUAAGUCCCUCUCUCUUCUGCAGCACCAGCCUCUGCCCAUCCCUGCCCUCUGCACACAAAGCUCUCACAUUGUCUGCACUUUAAGAACUUUUGUGGCAAACCCUGGCAAAUCCUGCCACUUGUUUCCACUCUUCUCAAAUGGCUUUGAGGUCAUCAUUGACCUAUCCCAUUUGACCCUGUCCUGUAUCUGAUGUUGUACCCUUUCUCCUUGAUCCCACUCUGGCAACUCUCCCACUCCCCUUUCUUGGAUCAACUGUCUUGCUCCUCAG
rnacentral:lncRNA from 1 species